rnacentral:rRNA from 1 species
UACGGGGGGGGCAAGCGUUGUUCGGAAUUACUGGGCGUAAAGGGCUCGUAGGUGGCCAACUAAGUCGGCCGUGAAAUCCCUCAGCUUAACUGGGGAACUGCGUCCGAUACUGGAUGGCUUGAGUUUGGGAGAGGGAUGCGGAAUUCCAGGUGUAGCGGUGAAAUGCGUAGAUAUCUGGAGGAACACCGGUGGCGAAGGCGGGAUCCUGGGCCAGUACUGACGCUGAGGUGCGAAAGCGUGGGGAGCAAACAGG